rnacentral:snoRNA from 1 species
UAUCAUGAUGAACAAGAGCUAUUAGCUCUAUAAUCCCAGCUCGUCGACAGCAGCCUCGCUAUAUAUCUCACGUUUGAGGCUGCAAUGAGAGGAAGUCCAACCCUGAAAC